rnacentral:lncRNA from 10 species
ACGGAUCCUACAGGAGAGAAAACGGGAGAGAAAAGGCUUGAAACUGAGGAGCUGAACUCCAAAUUGAGCUAUAAAACCAUGACAAGUGCAUGGAGCAGCUAUUUGAGCACCAGGAAAGGAAAUGGUACGCAGCAGUUUGGGAUGGCCCCAGCAGAUGAAAUACAACAGAGUCAGUGUGAGACUGCUGGAUUUCCUCACUGUCCCCUGGCUGGGACUCCAGACAGCCCCAAACCUGAAGGGGCACAAACCUGAAAACAAAAAGAAGUCCAGAAAGCCCUCUUGUUCAGGAUCGAACUUGGGAAAGAAAACUUAUUUGGCUCAAAGUGAAGGCUCAGUCCCCUGCACAAGCAGGUGGUUCACACCUGUGUUCUCAUCUCUCUUAUACCAGCGCCUCUCCCUGGGUUCACACUGAUGUCCUAUGGAUGGAGACGGGGCUUCCUGCACCAGGUCACUCCACAGCCCCUGUAACCUGAAGCCCUGCAGACCAGCCUUGUUCAAUCACAAUGUGAUGUGAGCCUCAUGGGAAUCCCACUGUCUAGUCAUCAUGUUAUAAAUACAAAGAGAAGAAGUCAAUGAGUUUAAAUAAUGUAUUUUAUUUACCUAGCAUAUCAAAAAGAGUAUCAUUUUCAUAUAUAAUCU